CUACGGGAGGCACCAGUCGAGGAAAUUUUACAAUGCUCGAAAGAGUGAUAGAAUAAACCAAAGUGUUUCAUUUAAUGAAACUUUUAUUUGUUGUAAAAAGACAGAUGAAUAAGGACUGGGCAAGACCGGUGCCAGCCGCCGCGGUAAUACCGGCGGUCCAAGUCGUAUCCACAUUUAUUGGGUCUAAAACAUUCGUAGCUUGUUUGAUAAGUCUCUUGUGAAAUCUGAUAUCUUAAAUAUCAGGCGUGCAAGAGAUACUGUCUUACUAGAGACCGAAAGACGCAAAGAGUAUGGUUGAGGUAGCGGUAAAAUGUGUUAAUCUCAAUUAGACUAACAACGGCGAAGGCACUUUGCGAGUACGGAUCUGACAGUGAGGGAUGAAGGCUAGGGGCGCAAAAGGGAUUAGAUACCCCGGUAGUC
rnacentral:rRNA from 1 species